rnacentral:rRNA from 1 species
AUUGAACGCUGGCGGCAGGCCUAAUACAUGCAAGUCGAACGAGUGGCGGACGGGUGAGUAAUGUCUGGGAAACUGCCUGAUGGAGGGGGAUAACUACUGUAAACGUUAGCUAAUCCCGCAUACCAUCGGUUGUGCCCAGAUGGGCUUAGCUAUUAGGUGGGGUAAAGGCUCACCUGCGCUACGAUCCCUAGCUGGUCUGAGAGGGUGACCAGCAACACGGGAACUGAGAAACGGUCAAGACUCCUACGGGGGGAAGCGUUGGGGAAUCGUGGACAAGGGGCGCAAGCCUGAUGCAGCAAGGCCGCGUGUAUGAAGAAGGCCUUCGGGUUGUAAAGUACUGUGAGCGGGGAGGCGUUAACCGAAGAAGAAGCAACGGCUAACUACGUGCCAGCAGCCGCGGUAAUUC